rnacentral:rRNA from 1 species
GACGAACGCUGGCGGCGUGCUUAACACAUGCAAGUCGAACGGAAAGGCCCUGCUUUUGUGGGGUGCUCGAGUGGCGAACGGGUGAGUAACACGUGAGUAACCUGCCCUUGACUUUGGGAUAACUUCAGGAAACUGGGGCUAAUACCGGAUAGGAGCUCCUGCUGCAUGGUGGGGGUUGGAAAGUUUCGGCGGUUGGGGAUGGACUCGCGGCUUAUCAGCUUGUUGGUGGGGUAGUGGCUUACCAAGGCUUUGACGGGUAGCCGGCCUGAGAGGGUGACCGGGCACAUUGGGACUGGGGUACGGCCCAGACUCCUACGGGGGGCAGCAGUGGGAAAUAUUGCACAAUGGGCGGAAGCCUGAUGCAGCAACGCCGGGUGCGGGAUGACGGCCUUCGGGUUGUAAACCGCUUUCGCCUGUGACGAAGCGUGAGUGACGGUAAUGGGUAAAGAAGCACCGGCUAACUACGUG